CCUACGGGAGGCUGCAGUGGGGAAUAUUGCACAAUGGGGGAAACCCUGAUGCAGCGACGCCGCGUGAGUGAAGAAGUAUUUCGUUAUGUAAAGCUCUAUCAGCAGGGAAGAAAAUGACGGUACCUGAGUAAGAAGCCCCGGCUAACUACGUGCCAGCAGCCGCGGUAAUACGUAGGGGGCAAGCGUUAUCCGGAUUUACUGGGUGUAAAGGGGGCGUAGACGGCAGUGCAAGGCUGGAGUGAAAGGCCGGGGCGCAACCCCGGGACUGCUCUUGAAACUGUACGGCUGGAGUGCAGGAGAGGUAAGUGGAAUUCCUGGUGUAGCGGUGAAAUGCGUAGAUAUCAGGAGGAACACCAGUGGCGAAGGCGGCUUGCUGGACUGUAACUGACGUUGAGGCUCGAAAGCGUGGGGAGCAAACAGGAUUAGAUACCCGAGUAGUC
rnacentral:rRNA from 1 species